UAGAGUUUGAUCCUGGCUCAGAUUGAACGCUGGCGGCAGGCCUAACACAUGCAAGUCGAGCGGAUGAGUGGAGCUUGCUCCAUGAUUCAGCGGCGGACGGGUGAGUAAUGCCUAGGAAUCUGCCUGGUAGUGGGGGACAACGUUUCGAAAGGAACGCUAAUACCGCAUACGUCCUACGGGAGAAAGUGGGGGAUCUUCGGACCUCACGCUAUCAGAUGAGCCUAGGUCGGAUUAGCUAGUUGGUGAGGUAAAGGCUCACCAAGGCGACGAUCCGUAACUGGUCUGAGAGGAUGAUCAGUCACACUGGAACUGAGACACGGUCCAGACUCCUACGGGACGCAGCA
rnacentral:rRNA from 1 species